AAGACUAUACUUUCAGGGAUCAUUUCUAUAGUUUCUGACUUGAGAAAUGUGUUUCUAGAGUGUAUGGUCUCGCUAACCACGAUGAUGAGUUGUGAUGUUCCCUUUUGAGCAUGAAGCUGACAGACAACUACGAUUUUGUCAUGUGUCUUCUGUCAUUGAUGAAUGUUCAUUACUUCAUUUCAGAGCUUUGACAAAGGGAACAUGACCUGAGUGGU